CCUAGAGUUUGUGGGCUUUGCCCACUGUCUCUUACCCAUGUCUUUUGAGUACUUACGUUUCCUCGGUGGGCUCGCCCGCCGGUUGGACAAUUUAAACCAUUUGUAGUAGCAGUAUCUUCAGUAAAAACAAAUAUUA
rnacentral:misc_RNA from 1 species